CCUACGGGCGGCAGCAGUGAGGAAUAUUGGUCAAUGGACGAGAGUCUGAACCAGCCAAGUAGCGUGAAGGAUGACUGCCCUAUGGGUUGUAAACUUCUUUUAUAUGGGAAUAAAAUGUGGCACGUGUGGGAUUUUGCAUGUACCAUAUGAAUAAGGAUCGGCUAACUCCGUGCCAGCAGCCGCGGUAAUACGGAGGAUCCGAGCGUUAUCCGGAUUUAUUGGGUUUAAAGGGAGCGUAGGGGGGUUGUUAAGUCAGGUGUGAAAGUUAGGGGCGCAACCGUAAAAUUGGAGUUGAAACGGGACGGGUAGAGUUCAGUAGAGGUGAGCGAAACUGAAGGCGUAGCGGAGCAGUG
rnacentral:rRNA from 1 species